rnacentral:misc_RNA from 1 species
AAGUCGUAACAAGGUUUCCGUAGGUGAACCUGCGGAAGGAUCAUUAGUGAAUUCAACUUUGUGCUUGCACAUGCUAGCCUGGGGUCCCUCGUGGCCACAGGUUCUAGAAUACACAUCCAUAACACCUGUGAACUGUCUGUCAGGCCCAUCGGCUCGCGCCCCUGGACUUGCACAUUACAAAACUUACUCUGUAAAAAUGUCUAAAUACAAAAACAAAAUAAAA